AUUUCCCUGCGAUGCUCGUUUAGGCCAUAUAUUCCUUGAACCAAUAUAUGUGCUGAGGUUGCGGACCAUCGCGCUGCUAUUGUGCGCGUCCCUUCGCCCCGUGCGAGUGCGGAUGUACCUACGGCGGCCGGAAUGCGACCACUCUGGACUGCAGGUUCGGAGGAUGCGGGUCUGACGGCAUUUGCGGGGAAUCC
rfam:Betaproteobacteria bacterium RIFCSPLOWO2_12_FTLL_64_23 rifcsplowo2_12_scaffold_1488, whole genome shotgun sequence.